rnacentral:lncRNA from 1 species
CCAUCCGCUCUGCUAGGCAGAUGUUCAGUCUACGCCAGGCAACUGUUUUCCAUUAAUUAGCCGGUUAAAUAUCAUGCAACCUUCUUGUGUGCGACAUAAUAAUUGAGGUCAUUA